rnacentral:rRNA from 1 species
AACGAACGCUGGCGGCAUGCCUAACACAUGCAAGUCGAACGAGACCUUCGGGUCUAGUGGCGCACGGGUGCGUAACGCGUGGGAACCUGCCCUUAUGGUCGGAAUACCUCCCCGAAAGGGGUGCUAAUACCGGAUAAUGUCUUCGGCCCAAAGAUUUAUCGACUUUGGAUGGGCCCGCGUUGGAUUAGCUUGUUGGUAGGGUAAAAGCCUACCAAGGCGACGAUCCAUAGCUGGUCUGAGAGGAUGAUCAGCCACACUGGGACUGAGACACGGCCCAGACUCCUACGGGAGGCAGCAGUGGGGAAUAUUGGACAAUGGGCGAAAGCCUGAUCCAGCAAUGCCGCGUGAGUGAUGAAGGCAUUAGGGUUGUAAAGCUCUUUUACCCGGGAUGAUAAUGACAGUACCGGGAGAAUAAGCCCCGGCUAACUCCGUG